rnacentral:rRNA from 1 species
AAGCUAGCGGCAGACUUAACACAUGCAAGUCGAGGGGUAGAUGCAGCUUGCUGCAUUGAGACCGGCGCACGGGUGCGUAACGCGUAUGCAAUCUGCCUUGUACUGGGGGAUAGCCCAGAGAAAUUUGGAUUAAUACCCCAUGGUAUUUUGGUGUGGCAUCACACUAUUAUUAAAGAUUUAUCGGUACAAGAUGAGCAUGCGUCCCAUUAGUUAGUUGGUAAGGUAACGGCUUACCAAGACGAUGAUGGGUAGGGGUCCUGAGAGGGAGAUCCCCCACACUGGUACUGAGACACGGACCAGACUCCUACGGGAGGCAGCAGUGAGGAAUAUUGGUCAAUGGGCGCAAGCCUGAACCAGCCAUGCCGCGUGCAGGAUGACUGCCCUAUGGGUUGUAAACUGCUUUUAUACGGGAAGAAACCCCUCCACGUGUGGAGGAUUGACGGUACCGUAAGAAUAAGGAUCGGCUAACUCCGUGCCAGCAGCCGCGGUAAUACGGAGGAUCCAAGCGUUAUCCGGAAUCAUUGGGUUUAAAGGGUCCGUAGGCGGGUCUGUAAGUCAGUGGUGAAAUCUCCCGGCUCAACCGGGAAACUGCCAUUGAUACUGCAGGUCUUGAAUGUUUGUGAAGUAACUAGAAUAUGUAGUGUAGCGGUGAAAUGCUUAGAUAUUACAUGGAAUACCGAUUGCGAAGGCAGGUUACUAACAAAUGAUUGACGCUGAUGGACGAAAGCGUGGGGAGCGAACAGGAUUAGAUACCCUGGUAGUCCACGCCGUAAACGAUGGAUACUAGCUGUCGGACCGUAAGGUUCGGUGGCUAAGCGAAAGUGAUAAGUAUCCCACCUGGGGAGUACGGCCGCAAGGCUGAAACUCAAAUGAAUUGACGGAAGGGCGAAUUCUGC